GGAAUAUUGGACAAUGGGCGAAAGCCUGAUCCAGCAAUGCCGCGUGAGUGAUGAAGGCCUUAGGGUUGUAAAGCUCUUUUACCCGGGAUGAUAAUGACAGUACCGGGAGAAUAAGCUCCGGCUAACUCCGUGCCAGCAGCCGCGGUAAUACGGAGGGAGCUAGCGUUAUUCGGAAUUACUGGGCGUAAAGCGCACGUAGGCGGCUUUGUAAGUUAGAGGUGAAAGCCUGGAGCUCAACUCCAGAAUUGCCUUUAAGACUGCAUCGCUUGAAUCCAGGAGAGGUGAGUGGAAUUCCGAGUGUAGAGGUGAAAUUCGUAGAUAUUCGGAAGAACACCAGUGGCGAAGGCGGCUCACUGGACUGGUAUUGACGCUGAGGUGCGAAAGCGUGGGGAGCAAAC
rnacentral:rRNA from 1 species